rnacentral:rRNA from 1 species
CCUACGGGAGGCAGCAGUGGGGAAUAUUGGACAAUGGGCGAAAGCCUGAUCCAGCCAUGCCGCGUGUGUGAAGAAGGCCUUCGGGUUGUAAAGCACUUUCAGUGGGGAAGAAAGCCUUGGGGCUAAUACCCUCGAGGAAGGACAUCACCCACAGAAGAAGCACCGGCUAACUCCGUGCCAGCAGCUGCGGUAAUACGGAGGGUGCGAGCGUUAAUCGGAAUUACUGGGCGUAAAGCGCGCGUAGGCGGUCUGAUAAGCCGGUUGUGAAAGCCCCGGGCUCAACCUGGGAACGGCAUCCGGAACUGUCAGGCUAGAGUGCAGGAGAGGAAGGUAGAAUUCCCGGUGUAGCGGUGAAAUGCGUAGAGAUCGGGAGGAAUACCAGUGGCGAAGGCGGCCUUCUGGACUGACACUGACGCUGAGGUGCGAAAGCGUGGGUAGCAAACAGGAUUAGAUACCCCGGUAGUC